UCAUCGACAGUGCCCAACUGCGCUGCAGAAACGAGGUUGCGGUGCUCGCGGCGAUUAUCAAGCAAGUGGUCGAACGCAGACGCUGGGCGAAAGGAGGCGCUCCCGAGGCUGCUGCCUCUGCUUCGUCUAGGCUACACAAACAUCCCGGACCUGGAGAGGAUAAUGCGCAUGCCCGAGAUCCAUGCUGACAAGAGGAACCUCGAGGUCAUCACGUUCAUAUGUGAGCACACUCUCGGAAGGACGACAGCAAUCCCGCCAGAGGUCGUUGACCUGCGUCUACAGCCUUGGUCGAGGCCGAGACUCCCGAGGGACGUCCUCUUCUGUUUCGGCAA